GGGGCGGGGAGGAACUGGGAGCCGCUUUCCGACUGUAAGGGGCGUUCCCUUGGAGCGGCUUUCGCGUCUCUGUAAGGAGCAAGCGCCCGCCGGUACGAGGGCGCAGAGGGACUGGACCGUCACUGGUCACAGAGGGAUAACUGAACUGCCUCGUCGCUUGGCCAGAACUGCUCCCACCGCCAGUACGUGGGUUUCCCACCCGCGCCCGCACCAGAGCCGGGCUCGGAGCUGUUGAGGCUCUUCCAUUUGGAGAUAAACUUACUGUCCUCAGCCAGGGACAAGGGGCCCACCUGGUGCAAUGGAAAAGGCGCAGAGUCAGCCUUAGCUGCUCCCUUUUUCAGAUGAGAAAAUGCAGCUCAGGGACGGAGGAAGACCAUAGAGCACGUAGCUUCCUUGCUCUCGCCUGCUCUGUGACCCUCUCUAGCCUGCCAUGUGGCCCAGAAGCAGCAGGUUCCAUGGCCAUGCGGACCCAACACGCAAUGGACAGCAGCUGGGAACACAAGCUAAGCUAGCCAGAUGCUGGACUGGACUGUGCUUCAACGCGGAAUGGAAAC